rnacentral:lncRNA from 1 species
CAGUGGGAAGCAUGCUAGUAUUCAGCCCGUCUUUAAUCUUGGGUCAAACACAGGGUGCCGUGGGAUGCACCUCCACCAAACCUGGUGAGAGAGGGACAUGAGACACUAGGGACAUGAGACACGAGACACUAGGAACAUGAAAUAGAAACAUGAGACACAAGAGACAUGAGACAGAAACAUGAGAAUGAGACACUAAAGACAUGAGACAAUAGGGACAUGAGACACUAGGGACAUGAGACACUAGGGGCAUGAGACACUAGGGGCAUGAGACACUAGGGACAUGAGACACUAGGGGCAUGAGACACAAGAGACAUGAGAUGUUAGGGAAAUGAGAUGCUAGGGACAUGAAACAUGAGACAUUAGGGACAUGAGACACUAGGGACAUGAAACAUGAGACACUAAGGACAUGAGACACUAGAGACAUGAGAUGUUAGGGAAAUGAGAUGCUAGGGACAUGAGACACUAAGGACAUGAGACACUAAGGACAUGAGACACUAGGGACAUGAGACACUAAGGACAUGAGACACUAGGAACAUGAGACACUAAGGACAUGAGACACUAGGGACAUGAGACACUAGGGACAUGAGACACUAAGGACAUGAGACACUAAGGACAUGAGACACUAGGGACAUGAGACACUAAGGACAUGAGACACUAGGGACAUGAGACACAAGGGUUUGAGUUUCUCACUGAGGUCGAGUUACAUCUGCUGUGUUUUGGUUCCACCACAUUGACUUGAUGAACUUCAACGUAUGGGUGAGCUAAGAGAGGCCCACACACACACGCUAUCUUUGCAUAUCUUUGAUGGCCUCAUCCGCUAUAGCUCUUACCCAUGUUUGUGUCUUAUGUACACAUGUCUGAGAUCCCAGAGUUCCCAAUCAAAAUGAGUCAUUGAUAGGCUACAGUACAGGUGUGUAGUGGUGGCCAUUUUGGGGUGCUAACAAUAGUUUCUUGUCAUUCUACAGGUCCCAUCAUGGACUCCACAGAGCAUGGCACAGCACUAGAACAGGCGGGCGGCGUGAGAAGGCUGGUCCAGCAGAACCCCGGCAGGGGCAGCCAGAGCCACAGACCAGCCGGAUGGAAGAGGAGACGCCCACGACCCCGUCUCUCCCACAAGGGCCCCAUGCCGUUCUAGAGCAAAGCACUGCUUCGACCGCCCACCCCCAUGUUCUGAUUUCUAUGCUCUUCCUUUGCCUUGUGGGGCCUUGCAACGAAGGGGCCUACGCUUGCCCAGCCUGAAGAGUGAUGUCCUAUAGCACCUGCUGGUUCUUCAAGCAACUUUUUUCUGUCCACAAAACAAUCAGGACAAGUCUAUCACCCUCAACUCUAAGAAGAAUUGGGGGAGGGAAAGGGGGGUGGGGGGGUACUGAGCCCAAGUUAUCAGAUUCUAUUUCUCCAUCUCUCACUCACUCCCUUGCUCCCUAUCUCUGUCCCCCCGACCCCACCCCCACCCCCAAGUGUUUUUGAUCAUUUGCUUUCUAGAGCCCUGUCAUACAGUAGCUGGUCUCCUCUGUGUCGCACACUUUGCAUGACGUGUGGUGGUUGACGGGGAGCAUGGUUCCAGUCUUAGACGUAAAGCCUCAGUCACUUCUCCAUGGUGUGCUAUUCCCAUCCUCUCAGAUCCAAGGUGACCACAGUCGUUAGUUCCAUUACUGUGCAGCUACUUCUGGCUUUACUAAUGAACAGGUGAUGAUAGUGAGGAAAGGCAGUGGCAGAGAUCCAAAGUUGACUUCUAUAUGUUUCGAGUUUGGCAGAUCCAUUGAAGCCAGGUUAGCAAAUUCACCCAAGAUAUUGUCACCUACAGUAUCUGCAGCAAAAGUCAAUCUGAGGUUUUCCUUAUAGAAACAAGAGAAAGGCCAAAAUCAUUAACUUUUUAUUUGAUGUUAAUUUUGGCUAAAUAUGAAAAGUUAACAAAAAUUGGACCAGAGUGAGGUUUCAAUUUAACCGUUCGAAACAGCACAUAUAAUCAAAACAAUCUGCUGUAAGCAUCACAGUAAUUAUUUCACCUGGGAGGUUCUUUAAUCCAAAGCUCUUUAAGGGGGUUAAGCAAUUUUCCCAAGGUUACAGACACCGUGUCCCACCUGGGAUAAGAGUCCUGUGAUCCAAAAUCCCAUUCCCAAUCCCUGGCCCCCAGCAGCUGCUCUACACGACUGUUAACUGGCAGGACUGGUCUGGUCUGCUUUUGAACAACAGACUCCCUCGCCUUUUAAUGAAGUGCCAAAUAAUAACCUACUCUACAAUGCUGCCAGGAAGCAAGGAACGAAAGGGAAGAGAGAAAGGAGAAACAUAUGACCUCUUGUUUGUAGUCUGGGUUACUCACAUACAUUUCUAUACAUUUCUAUACACAAGACAAAUCCCAAUUAUAGGCAGUGGUAGCAAGGAGGACAGUUCAAUUAGACCAAAAACACUUUUUCAAGCAGAGACAUGCUGUCAGCUCAGUAAAUAUACCACCAUGUUCUGCCUACCAAUAGUGCUCUCUUCUCUGACUGUUUAGCGCGAGGCUGGUUUCGACCCUUUGACCGAGAUCUUUGAUUGACGGAAUGUGCUAUGCCUUUCCAUCGUACUGGAAUAAUAUUACUGUUUUGUUCAAAUGUUUUUUCUAUUUUCAUUAAUUUUUUUCUCAGGGUGCUGUGAUCGAAGCCUGUACCAGAGCAAUCUCUAUUUUGCGCAUUUAUUUAAGAAACACAAACAUUUCUAUUUGACAAGCAUAUUGCCAUAUACUGUAUCUUUGCCCUCCCUGCCUAUGUACAACACCACUAUAGCCAUGUAUCCAGACUCAGUCCUUGCUUAGUCAUUUUGGUUCUUUAUUCCCAUGUUGGGUACAGUUGCCUGUUUAGCUCACGCUUCCACACACAGGUGGUCAUGGCUUUGAUCAUGAUGUUCAUUAAAUCCCUGGCUAAUCUCUCUCAGAUGGGCCCUUCCCCUAGGCUGGGGCCUCUCACAAGCUGAGUUUAUUGUCUAAUUGGUUUAGAUUGGAACCACACCCUUCCCCCCUCUACAACCCUAAACCCCUUGUAGAUCUAUCUAACAUGCUGCAAUUGGGACCUGUAGAGCAGAUGCCAUCCAAUCAGCAUCCAGUUUGCUAUUAGGUGUGGGAGGGAUGCUGAAAUCGGUUUUUCGGUUGGUCUCUUAAUCCAAAUAUGGUUUCAACUACAGUAAGAAUGGCUUUCACUACAAGACUGUUACCAAUCAUAAAACAAAAAUGGUUUCAUUGUGGCCAGGAGAGGAAAUUGGAACUUAGUUUUGUAACCGGCUUGGUUUAAACCUAGAGUUCCGAUAUGUUACCUUCCCCCCAUUGCUCUUUCUCUCCCAGAUUGGAAUUGAAAAGCAGUUUCCCAGCAACUCUGCCUCCCAUCACAAGAAGCUCUUAAUAAGAGAGCAUCUCAAAUCACAGUGGUAACUCACCCAUACAAGCUCGCCUUGAUUAAACAUGUAUUACAUCUUAGGGCACUGUGAAGUAAUAAUUUUGGUCACACAAUGAUUAUUUCAUACCCUCUCAGACAAAGAUGUAGAUUUCACUAAUGCUCCUUUGAAAUGAGACAGCUUUUGCUCAGGGUGUCUCAACUAGUAUUAUACAGGGAGAGAGUUAGUAGGGGUAGGAGCAGGGGGAGAGAGUUAGUAGGGGUAGGAGCUGGGGGAGAGAGUUAUUUAGAGUUAGUAGGAGCUGGGGAGAGAGUUAGUAGGGGUAGGAGCAGGGGAAGAGAGUUAGUAGGGGUAGGAGCAGGGGGAGAGAGUUAGUAGGGGUAGGAGCAGGGGGAGAGAGUUAGUAGGGGUAGGAGCUGGGGGAGAGAGUUAGUAGGGGUAGGAGCUGGGGGAGAGAGUUAGUAGGGGUAGGAGCUGGGGGAGAGAGUUAGUAGGGGUAAGAGCAGGGGGAGAGAGUUAGUAGGGG